rnacentral:rRNA from 1 species
GACGAACGCUGGCGGCGUGCUUAACACAUGCAAGUCGAACGGAAAGGCCCUGCUUUUGUGGGGUGCUCGAGUGGCGAACGGGUGAGUAACACGUGAGUAACCUGCCCUUGACUUUGGGAUAACUUCAGGAAACUGGGGCUAAUACCGGAUAGGAGCUCCUGCUGCAUGGUGGGGGUUGGAAAGUUUCGGCGGUUGGGGAUGGACUGGCGGCUUAUCAGCUUGUUGGUGGGGUAGUGGCUUACCAAGGCUUUGACGGGUAGCCGGCCUGAGAGGGUGACCGGCCACGUGGGGCCUGAGAUACGGCCCAGACUCCUACGGGAGGCAGCAGUGGGGAAUAUUGCACAAUGGGCGGAGGCCUGAUGCAGCAACGCCGCGUGCGGGAUGACGGCCUUCGGGUUGUAAACCGCUUUCGCCUGUGACGAAGCGUGAGUGACGGUAAUGGGUAAAGAAGCACCGGCUAACUACGUG